CAAACAAAACUGAAGUCAGAGAGAUGAUGAAAGGCGUGCAAGAACGGGAGAAAGGAAGAAAGGAAAGAAAGGAGGAUGGCUGAGACGGGGGGAAGGAGGGAGCAAGGAAGGAGAAAGGGAAAAUAAUUCCAAACAGGUUUCAAGAUUGAGCUGACCCUGCCAUCUAAAUAUAGCAUGGCAACAUGGACAUAUUGAAGAUAAAUGAUUUACUGACUGGCUUAGAGGAAAUCAGAUAAAUUAUCUUCUACUGACUCCUGACUAGCCAACCUCAGAAACAACUCUCUUUUGAGAAAGGUUUUGUGAUAAGAGAUACAUUAGCUAUUUUUUGUUUCACCUGGUUACAGAGUUCUCAAGCUGCCUUAAAUAUCAUAGAAGAAUUUCACGUUGAAGUUGCUGAUUUUAUUCAGCCUCUUUGAACAUGUCAACAUGGAUAUUGUCCUUGAACACACAGCUCCACAUGCCCAUGGGCUGAAGAAGAUGCUGAGAAAUGGAUUCUAUAUCUAAAUCUCAUUGCUGAGUAAACAAGAUGUCUUUAGUUGGCUGAAGAAAUUAACCUGACCAAUGGCAUAGGAAAUCCUGCAGUUUGAGCCAUGUUGGAAUUGCCCAAAGGCCUUGCACCAGGAGCAAAUACUUUGCUCCUAAAGCAGACAUUCAGAUCUGGAAAAUCUGAAAGAGAACAUGGGCAUGAUUCCCUUCAUUUUAAAAAUCAUCUUGAAUCCUGAGGCACAUUUGAAAUGCAAGAUAUGUGAGGUGAAUGGCAGAAAAGAAAAAUACCAGAAGACUGAAUUUCCAAUAAAUCAAAGCAACCGAAUUUCAAUUUACAAUAGUGGAACUCAGGACAUAUUUUUUCCACCAAAACAUCCAACCAAGUAUGAGUGAGUGGCCUGGCCUUAACACAUUGUUUGUUUGAACAACAAUUUGAAGGAAAGUCGAUAUGUUGAUAAUAUAAUAUAGAGUAACUUCAGAAGGCCUUAUAAAGAAUGUGCAGUAGGAAGAAGAAAAUCUGGAACCCUGAGUUAGCCUGGUGGGAAAGUCAGCCUCAGCUGAAGCCUCAACAGGCAGCUUGGAUGCUUCUUGACAUCUACAUUAAGGCCAUUUCACAGUGGAAAAGAUGGCAGUUUUGAAAGGGACAAAGAAGAAGUCUUGUGAAAUAAAUAACUCUGCAAUG
rnacentral:lncRNA from 1 species